GGGCCAGGUGGAGCUCUACCUCCUGAUGGGAGAAAAGACCACCGGGCACUUUUAGCACAUUCAUUUAUAGUGGUAGAGAUAGCGGAAGUGCAGGGGGAGGUCAAAGGGGCUGGUCUGUAACGGGAGCCAGGAGAGUAGCUAAGGUCUGCAGGACAUCAUGUGUGACAGUUUUCUGGCAAAUGGGCAGGAGGAAGACAGGCCUUGCUCCAGGCCUUGCUCCACCACACUCUCUUGUCCUCUGUUGUCCUCCUGCCGGGCCCUGCCUUGUUCGAAAGCAAACAAGAUGCGUGUUCCUCAUUCCACUCAGGGCCCUGACUCAUCUGGGGGAGGAAGCGAGUUAGGCCUGGCCAUAGUGAUCUACAGCACAGUGCUCCCAGCAUUAAUGAGUUUACAUUUUCUAGAAUUUUAUAGAUGCAAGUACACAGUAUAUAUUCUUUAUGUUUGGCUUAUUUGUCACACAGUUUGUUCUUUCCUAUCACUGGAUAAUAUUCCAUUGAAUACACGUAUCACACGUGUGUGGUGUUUGUUCAUUCACUUAGAGAUGAACAUUUGAGAAAUGAGCUAUUCCAAAAGAUACUCUGAGCAUUCAGUACAAUUCUUCAUGAGGACCUAUGUUUUCAUUUCUCUUGACUAUGCAGUACGUGUUACUUUGGGUUUUUGGGGGUUUUGGUUUUUUUUGCAGCACUGGGGGUCAAACCCAGGACCUUGCACACGCUAGCAAAGCACUCUACCACUGAGCUACAUCCCCAGCUCUGUUACUUUUUUUUUUUCUUAACCAGGGAUCGAACUCAGGAUCUUGCGCUUUUGAGGCAAGCGGUGGAACCACUGAGCUAAAUCCCCAGCCAGCUCUGUUACUUUUUAAGAAAUGAAUCAACUACAGUUCAAGUGCAGUCAGCUCAUGAAACUCUUAACAGGCAGACCUGGAAAGAACGACUGCUUUAACUUUUCUAUUCCUGCUUUCACAUGGUUCCCAUCUUCUUUAAUCAACAGGGGGCCAACCAAGCCCUUUUGCCUCACUGAGGACAGAAUCUUUGACAUCUUCAGUUUUGCAUAGCAUUGUAGGAUCAGGGAGGGCCACUUCCUUCUAAAUAUGUAAACGAGAGAAAAUAUAAACACAAAUAUAAACCACAGAAAAGGAAGCCAGUUUUUACUCAACCAUCCUAAUUCCAGCCCUUCAUUCAUUCACCAAAUAUUUCUUAAAUAGCUACUAAUGUCAGAAGAACUGCAAAGGCCAGUCCCUGGGAAUGCAGCGAGAGAGCCGACAGAGCCACCACAGUCCUUCCAUUUAAGGAGCACAGACGCCAGUGAGAGCAAGAGAGUUUAGAAGAAAGGGGCCAGGGAGCCAGUGAGCUUGUCGCAGGGGCCUCUGGUCUGUCUGCUAGAGGACACUGAGCAAGGGCUUGAGAAGGCCAAGAAAGCUAUUGGUCUGGGAUCCUAAAUCCUGGGUCCUUUCCCCAUUGUUGUCAGGAUCCCAUCCCAAGUCCCCCUUUCUGAGGGGGCCUGAAUCAAGACAAAGAUUGCACCAGGCUUUCUGCUAGGGUCACUAUUUUCUCCAUCCUGACUUGUCUGAAGGAAUCACUGUGUUAACUAUUGUGUAUAAAGCAUUUGUGUAGGGCCUGGCAUUUAGUGGGAGCUCUGUAAAUGUCUAAAGCCAGUCCCCGGGUGCUGAACACCUUUGCCAGGGACGGGAGCCCCUGCUUUGGCUCCAUGCAUCUCAUUACCAGACCAAUGUGGUAAUGGAUUGCUCCUCUACUUGCCCUACACACACACCAUGUCCUGCUUCUAGUUGACCUUUGCCCAGAUAAUACAGAUACGCCCAUCUCUCCUCAUUCCCCUGCACCCUCUGUCCCCCUGGCAGUGCAUCUGGUCCACCCUGGCCCCUCCCUAUCCUAUUCAAAUACAACUGAGAACACCCAGAGCCUCAGACUUCCCAUCCCUGCCUUGCAUUCUCAGGUGUUUCUGUGUCACUUCCUGCUCCUGCCCCACAAAGAUGGAUCCAGGUCGGAAGGGGCACUGCCAUGGUGGUCCUCCUCCAAGCCACCCUCCUGGUCAUGGGCACCCCCAUGGUCAUGGGCACCCCCAUGGUCACGGUCCAGGGCACUGUCCUGAAGGAAUCCACCCACCAGGACAUGGUGGGCCUCCCCAUGGCCAUGGCCCAGGGCACUGUCCUGGGGGAGUCCACCCACCAGGACCUUGUGGGCCUCCUCCUGGCCAUGGCCCAGGGCACUGUGGGCACCCCCCUGGACCACAUCACUGAGGAAAAAGAAGAAAAUAAAACACAGGAUGAGAACCCUGAGGGGGCUGCCCUGCUGACCUGCCACAGAACCUGAACCAGCAUCUUCUUCUUAAUAAACUGGAAGCUGAGCUCUAGUCUAAAAGAGUCUUGUCGUCCUUCACACUCAACUCAGGGACCCUGUUGCUUCUGAGUUCCUCUCCUGUGAAAAUGAAGCAUCCAGCCUGGCAUUCUCAGAAGCUUGGCUCAGUGAUGCCCACAGCAUGGGGCUGGAUAAGGCCAUAUUCCUUUUCUUUCAAUUUUGCCUCUCCCAUCAAAAGGUCUCAAAUGAGGUUCUAUCACCUCUGCCCCAUCCGGUGUACCCUCAGAUCUGGUGGACCUUCUGAGGUUCCAGUUGGCACACCUCAUUCUACACAUCCAAAGAUGUCAGUGGCUCCCUACUGCCACGUGUAUUUCUCAACCAUUCCCUGAAAAUAUACUGAUUUUUCCAACCUCCUUAAUUUAGGUUGCAGUGUCUCCCACCUCAGGUCAGGAAUACCCCAUCUCUCUC